GUCAUCAACAGCAGUAGGUCAUCAACAGCAGUAGGUCAUCAACAGCAGUAGGUCACCAACAACAACAGUAGGUCAUCAACAACAGUAGGUCAUCAACAACAGUAGGUCAUCAACAGCAGUAGGUCAUCAACAACAGUAGGUCAUCAACAAC